GUUAAUGUAGCUUAACCCAAAGCGUGGCACUGAAGAUGCCAAGAUGAGCUGUAAAAAGCUUCAGUAACA
rnacentral:tRNA from 1 species